rnacentral:lncRNA from 1 species
AUCUUAGAUUACAGUUCCUGUACAUAUAUAAUCCAAGCUGAAUACAGAGCGCGCUAAGUGAACGCAGCAUGAGAAUUACAUCUAUAUAUAUUGUAAUAACCCAAAAUAACUUAGACACCAAGUUGACUAUAACGUGAAGUUGAGAUCAAAGCUCUGAUCACGAAUCAUGGAAGUUGAUUCCUUAUUCUUUGAAGAUGAUGGCAAUGGAUUCUGCACUUGGUAUGGCGCUCUAGCCGUGUCUCUGGACGCCACCAAAAAACAGAAAUAAGUGAGAUCAGUGGCGGAACCAGAAAUUUAUACAAGGGAAUUCAAAAAAAAAAUUAGGAUGGUAUUUAAACCUAUGACCUAAAGUAACUUGUGAAUCCCCUUCACUAUAAUAAUUGAAUUUUUUUUCAUGUCAAAGGAAUUCAACAGUUCACGUAUAACAACAAUAAAAAAUUACUUUUACCUUUUUUUUCACAGUGUAAUUUUUCGGCGAAGGGGGUUUGCUCGAACCCCCUUCAAUGAACUUAGUUCCGCCACUG